AGGAAGGAGCUUGCUCUUUCCGGAUGAGUUGCGAACGGGUGAGUAACGCGUAGGUAACCUGCCUGGUAGCGGGGGAUAACUAUUGGAAACGAUAGCUAAUACCGCAUAAUAGUAGAUAUCGCAUGAUAACUGCUUAAAAGGUGCAAUUGCAUCACUACCAGAUGGACCUGCGUUGUAUUAGCUAGUUGGUGAGGUAACGGCUCACCAAGGCAACGAUACAUAGCCGACCUGAGAGGGUGAGAUCGGCCACACUGGGACUGAGACACGGCCCAGACUCCUACGGGAGGCAGCAGUAGGGAAUCUUCGGCAAUGGACGGAAGUCUGACCGAGCAACGCCGCGUGAGUGAAGAAGGUUUUCGGAUCGUAAAGCUCUGUUGUAAGAGAAGAACGACUGUGAGAGUGGAAAGUUCACACUGUGACGGUAUCUUACCAGAAAGGGACGGCUAACUACGUGCCAGCAGCCGCGGUAAUACGUAGGUCCCGAGCGUUGUCCGGAUUUAUUGGGCGUAAAGCGAGCGCAGGCGGUUAGAUAAGUCUGAAGUUAAAGGCUGUGGCUUAACCAUAGUACGCUUUGGAAACUG
rnacentral:rRNA from 1 species